UAUCUAGCUAAAAAUGAAUCAUAAAUAAAGUUGAUUUAUACUGAACUUUUUUUUUUUUUUCUUUAGGAUGACAGAAAGUGCAUUUAGACCAAUGAAUUCCAACCAAGGGUACAAAUAUACCAGGGGGUAAUUUACAGGAUCAAUCAGUAGCUUUUACGCUGAUCAGAAUACUAGGUUACUGUCAGUGUAAUUGCUCAGCAGUAGUCCCGGCACAGUUAAAACCGCUAAAAGUAAUUCUGUUAAAUACUAUUAAACAAGUAAUGGAUUCAAUUUUAAAUUACUUUAACCCAGUGCAUUUCUGCAGAGAGAUGAUGAAAGAGUACCUGAGUUCAUCUGACAGGCCUGUGGGGCCACAUCUGUUUGAAAAAAGGAUAGGAUGGUUGAGAACAUAAGGAAAUAAAGCUUCGAAAAAUCAAAGUCAUGCUGUGGGCUGUCUUUGUGAUCAAUUUAGUGUAAUAAUUAAUUCUUCAAUUCUAUCUGCAGGUAGGUUGAUAAUGGCUAAAAGUAUACUUGAUUCCCCAAAUACCAUAAAACAAAAUGAAUAUUCUUUUAGGCUUCUGUCUUUGGAUAAGUUGAUGCAUAAAACUUGUUGGAAAAACAUUUUUCUUAAUAAAUUUAACUCUAUGGAUAUGGAAGGAACCCAGAGGAAGAGAUGUUAUUUACUCGCUUGAGAAUAGGACACAGGUUUAAACUGCACUGCACUGAAGAGGGAAACACCCAGCAGGUCCACCAUCCACUAGGUAGGUGGCGGUAAUGCACUUGUAAGUGUGGUUUGCCAACCACCAUUGACCUCCAACGAAGAAGAAGCUAGAGCAGGGGCAGUUCAAACUGAGGUGAGGUGGUCUGCAGUAAACCGGACUAACCGACAGAAGGCCCUGAGGCGUCGUUGCAGUUUUUGGUUUUCCUGCAGAUGACCCUGAUGCAGCAACACAACUAAACCAGGAUUGGAAACCUGUCCCAUCAGCUCAUCUUUGUAAAUCAACAACUCGAAGGAGCUGCCCUCAAAUUCAGACUUCAGCACGAUCCAGUGACAGCAGACAAAUCUUCCCACAUUUUAACCGUUAAUGCUGAAUACACUCAUUUAAUAUUGUAGUGAAUUUACUGUAAAUCCAAAAUUAACUGAUAAAAAAGGUCAAAAGCUGCUUCAAUGAGAAAGUUAAAGACAAAAACAAAGGAAUGAUAUAAUAAUGUAACUUGUAUCAUGAUGCACUCUAUAGCCAAACGUAUUCACUCAUCCAAAUCAUUGAAUUUGUGUGUUCCAAUCACUUCUGUGGCCACAGGAAGUGAUUGGAAAAAAAAAAAGAAUCAAGCAUCUAGGCCUGCAGACUGCUUCUACAAACAUUUGUAAGAAAUGGGUCGCUCUCAGGAGCUCAGUGAAUUCCAGCGUGGUACUGUGAUAGGAUGCCAUCUGUCCAGCAGGUCUAGUCGUGAAAUUUCCUCACUACUAAAUAUUCCACAGUCAACUGUUAGUAGUAUUAUAACAAAGUGGAAGCGAUUGGGAACAACAGCAACUCAGCCACGAAGUGGGAGGCCACGUAAAAUUACAAAACGGGGGAAGUGGAUGCUGAAGCACAUACUGCGCAGAGGUAGCCAACUUUCUGCAGAGUCAAUUGCUACAGACCUCCAAACCUCAUGUGGCGUUCAGAUCAGCUCAAGAACAGUGCGUAGAGAGCUUCAUGAAAUGGGUUUCUAUGGCUGUGCAGCUGCACCCAAGCCUUACAUCACCAACCGUAAUGCAAAGCACCGGAUGCGGUGGUGUAAAGCACACCGCCACUGGACUCUAGAGCAGUGGAAACGUGUUCUCUGGAGUGGUGAAUCAUGCUUCUCUGUCUGGCAAUGCGAUGGACAAGUCUGGGUUUGGCGGUUGCCAGGAGAACAGUACUUGUCUGACUGUAUUGUACCCAGUGUGAAGUAUGGUGGAGGAGGAGUUAUGGUGUGGGGUUGUUUUUCAGGAGUUGGGCUUGGCCCCUUACUUCCAGUGAACGAAACUCUUAAUUCUUCAGCAUACCAAGACAUUUUGGACAAUUUUAUGCUCCCAACUUUGUGGGAACAGUUUGGGGAUAGCCCAUUCCUGCUCCAACAUGACUGCACCCCAGUGCACAAAUCAAGGUCCAUAAAGACGUGGAUGAAUGAGUUUGGUGUAGAUGAACUUGACUGGCCUGCACAGAGCCCUGACCUCAACCCAAUAGAAUACCUCUGGGAUGAGUUAGAGCGGAGACUGCGAGCCAGACCUUCUCGUCCGACAUCAGUGUCUGACCUCACAAAUGCACUUCUGGAAGAAUGGUCAGAAAUUCCUAUAAACACACUCCUAAACCUUGUGGAAAGCCUUCCCAGAAGAAUUGAAGCUGUUAUAGCUGCAAAGGGUGGGCCAACUUCAUAUUAAACCCAAUGGAUUAAGAAUGGGAUGGGACUCAAGUUCAUAUGUGUGUGAAGGCAAAUAGCUUUGGCAAUAAUAGUGUAUAUAUCCUUAUCUUUGACCAUUUACACGCUGCUCUUUACAUUCAGGAGCAUAAACAGUAACUGAAUUUGGUGUAUAAGAUAGCUGUUGAUCACAGACGGCUUCUGCUUUUAACACUGACAUGUAGUCCCCUUCAUGAAAGUGAAACGAUAUCUUUCUCUGACAACAUUAAAUAAAAUCUGAUAGACGGUCAAAGGUCUUCACUUGUAUGUUGAACUAAAAACUUUAAUGUAGAACAGUGUUUUGUAUUUUUUUGUUUUAUUUGGCAUAAGGUAAUCAAGAGACAGUAAUAUACAUUUUAAUAAUAUAAGUUUCUACAGGACUGAAUAUAGCAUCAUUAUGUAGAAGUCCAGAGCUUCUGUGCUUUAUCUGGGGAUCAUGUGAAGUGUUUGUGACAUCAGGGAGGGGCAACCAACUGCUGCAACCAGUUGGGGGUCAUGGGGAAAGUGAGAGGACAGAAGAAACACUGUGGAAGAGCAUCAGAGAUUAAUAAUAACUAAUGAUUUAAUGCAGAGUGGUAUAUAAGCCCAUCAUGAUUGAAAUAGCUGAGUGAAGAAGAUAGACUCAAUGCAAGCCCCAAGCAGCCUAGGCCUAAUGUGGUGUAACUAAGGGAGGAUUCAGAGUCACCUGAUCCAGUCCUGACUAUAUACUUUGUGAAAACAGGCAGAUCUAGAGAAUUUUUUCAAGGGUGGCAUGGAAAUCAAAUGGGGUAACAAAAUCAAAGCCUUUUUUUAAACACAUAUGUAGGUGUUACAUAUGGUUAUAAAGAGGAAAAUGCAGUAAGUAUACCCAUGUUUCAUAUAAAUAUAGUCUAUAACUUCUUUAUUAAUUCAUGUAGCCCACAUAAUGAAACAUUUCAGUUACAUUAAACAUGUGAAUUUUAAUAUUAUGUAAUGUAUAGCUUGUAUAAUAAAUAAAUAUGUACCCAAUAAGUAGAACAUUUAAAAGGUGGUAACACAGUUUUUCAUGAUUUGUUGGAUUAAUAUUCUGAGGUCCAAAAUAUAAUUGGCCAUUUCUGGCUACUUUUGAUU